rnacentral:misc_RNA from 1 species
GAUGAAGAACGUAGCGAAAUGCGAUAAGUAAUGUGAAUUGCAGAAUUCAGUGAAUCAUCGAAUCUUUGAACGCACAUUGCGCCCUCUGGUAUUCCGGGGGGCAUGCCUGUUCGAGCGUCAUUAUAACCACUCAAGCUCUCGCUUGGUAUUGGGGCUCGCGGUUCCGCGGCCCCUAAAAUCAGUGGCGGUGCCUGUCGGCUCUACGCGUAGUAAUACUCCUCGCGAUUGAGUCCGGUAGGUCUACUUGCCAGCAACCCCCAAUUUUUACAGGUUGACCUCGGAUCAGGUAGGGAUACCCGCUGAACUUAAGCAUAUCAAUGAGGA